AGACAGAACUAAUACAGUUUUUAGCAGUCUUUGCUACAGGGGAGAAAGCAAGAGUACCCAGAAUUUGAAGACUUCACACAGCCCUUGAGAAGCCUUGACUUGUGUGACUCACGGCAAAGCAUCACGGAUAAGAGGGAAUUGGGGCAACGUAAGGACCUGCUUUGUGAGAGGGAAAUUCCUGUAUAUUUCAUACCUUUUUAUAGUUUUUAGAGCUAUUGUCAUCCCCCUUUUGCAGGUCUGCACCCCAGUCACUGCCUGUAAGAAGAGUAUGUAGAAAGCAUGUGAGACCUUCGUUUCUCACUAUAAACAGAACAAAGAACAGAAGCAGACAACAGAAACUCUUCCUAUCACACUCCUGUGCCUGUAGGGGACCUGUAAAAGUGAGCACGUGGUGACAAGAGUCCUGUCCUUUUGGGGAAAGUUUUCCGGACAUCUGGGAUCUGUACGUCCAUCACUCUCAGUUUGUGCUCUGCUUAGUACUCUGCUUUCUGCUCUGCUGUGACACCAGCAUCACAAACAGCCACUCACCAGUACUUCAGCUCUGAACUGCUAUGUUUUGGGACAAAGUCACUCAUCAUAUAAAAGCUCAUUUGGGGGGAUAUUAAGGAAAUCUCAGUUGGUUUUGCUUUGGAAAUUGACAUGGUCAAAAAACCCCUUCUGGAUCAUAAAAGGAUUUGAACCAUGCUUGAGAAACCUUCAUUUUCUGAGAAACACAAGAACCUGUUUUUUUAGGCAUGCUUGAGAAAUAAGAUCUAUA
rnacentral:lncRNA from 1 species